rnacentral:snRNA from 1 species
AAAUGUGAGGGCAAUCUGGCUGUGACAUCUGUCAUGCACUGAUCUCCAGGGUUGAUUUGACUGAUCUGAUCUGGCAGAAGAGGAGGUGUCUCCUUCCUCUGCAACCCUCCACAUGUGUCCCUCCACAAGCUGCCAAGAUGACAUUCCUUGAUUGAGGAGGACUGCUCUUCCGUCAAGGGUAUGCGAAUAGCUGCGCACCCGCUAGAACCUCCAGACAAGCUUCCCAGAGGGCUUCUGUCAUGGCCUCCUAGUGGUUUUCAUAAUCCAAGUAUCUCCGACUACCUCAUCUUGAGUUUUGUU